CUCAGAGUGCCCCAGGGCGUUCUGACACCGGUUCUGCCACUUAAGCUGCUCCCCAAAGCUGUGAGUGGCCCCCAAAGAAGCCGGAGGAAGGAUAUGAGGAAACUGACACCCAGGGAGGGAACGUGGCUGACCCAGGGACACACUGCUGACCAAAGCCCCAGAAAUCUUUCAAUCCAGCGUCUCAAGAAGAAACAAACCACCGGGCAAUGUUGUAAGAGGAUGCUGACCUGAGACGUAAUGGGGGACAGGACCUCUCACUCUGGCCUGGAACUCUUCCUGCCUCGGUUUGCUUUGCGUGCUGGUGGUCUCCACAAAGAUCUUAAACCCCACGAUUCACAUCUCUGAAUCUCCCACAGCAUCUAGCAGAGCACCAGUGUAUUUAUCGAAGUACAUGCUUGAUAAA